GCCCUGGUAGUGUAGUCUGGCCUAACAUAAAGCCCUGUCGAGGCUUUGCCCCGGGUUCAAAAUGGGUGAUGGGCA
rnacentral:tRNA from 1 species